rnacentral:rRNA from 1 species
UGGAGGAAGGUGGGGAUGAGGUCAAGUCAUCAUGGCCCUUACGGCCAGGGCUACACACGUACUACAAUGGUAGGGACAGAGGGCUGCAAGCCGGCGACGGUAAGCCAAUCCCAGAAACCCUAUCUCAGUCCGGAUUGGAGUCUGCAACUCGACUCCAUGAAGUCGGAAUCGCUAGUAAUCGCAGAUCAGCAUUGCUGCGGUGAAUACGUUCCCGGGCCUUGUACACACCGCCCGUCACACCAUGGGAGUUUGUUGCACCAG